UCCAUGGUAGCUUAGUGGUUAAGCCAUAUGCCUGAAGUACAAGGUGAAUUUUAUGGCUUGGGUUCGAUCCCAGCCAUGUUA